UCCAGGGUAGCCUAGUGGACAUGGCAUCUGCCCGGUAAGUGGAAGGUCGUGGGUUCGACUUCCGCCCCUGGCC